rnacentral:misc_RNA from 1 species
AUCAUUUGAAUCCAUAUCAUAAAGUGUGAUCAAAUAUAAAUGAUAUUUAUAAUAAAAUUUUGAAAAUUAAAUGAGAACAAUAUAGUAAAAUACUUAGUCAAACAAAAGCACCAAAAUGAAAAGUUGGGUCCCUAUGUUUAAUUUUUUUUAGCUUCUAAGCUCAAAAAUAGUUAUAAGAGUUUGUAAGCUAGUUUGCUAAGACAAACACCCUCUUAGUAUUCUCUAGUGGAUACUCCACCUAACUAGUUAAGCAAAUAGACAACACCAUGUGUAUCCUGACAUUAUCGAAGGCAAUUGCAUAGGUUAUGCUUUUGGGGUGUAUUGAUGCUUUGACCAAGUGAAGUUCCUUUUAUAAGAAUUGUAUGAUCUGCUUGUUGUCUGAGUAUAAAGAGUUGCUGCCUGUAUUGGUCACCUGAGAAACCCAAAAUAUGUAGCAGGUGAGUGCCCCUUAACCCAACUAGAACUAGGAACAGGUGGUGGCAAAGCAAUUAGAUGACUCUGUACAAUUGAAAAUCUACAGAAGCAGCAUGCGGUGGGUGAUUAAUUUGCAUACCUACUGGCAUAGGAAAACUAAUAUCAGUCAAUAAAAUAACUUAGAAAAUUGAGUAUUACUAGCUACAAAUGCUGUAUGUAGAAACAGAACUGAAUUGGUAAUUUGGUUAUACAUAGAAGGUAACUAUUUAAGUUGUCGAAAGGAUGGCCGGGAAUGCAUGGCCCUUAUUGUUGUUCUAGCUCAUUAGGUUUCAACUUUCAACCCUCAGAAUUUAGCUAGAAAUUAGGACAGCAAUUAAAUGCCAUAUAAUAUGUAAUGUGAAGACAAAAAAAAGGUUUGGACCCGAAAGUGGAGCCUUACAUCCUUCCUUCCUCUUAAUGUUUCACCUUUCUGUUAAUGGUGACAGAUCUAUUUUCCAUCUCAAACCAUUCCCCCCUUUAUAACUUUUGAUGACUUGAUGUUGGAAUAUUGUUUCUUGGCCAAAAGCAUAUUUUGCCUCCCUAAACUUUCACAGAAAAGUCAAUUUGCCUCCUUAAUCUUGUAUUGAACUAAUUUGUCCCCUGAAUUUAAAAAAUUGCACCAAUUUAACAUAUUUUUGUGGAGUCAGCUAUUCAGUGUAUUUCACACACAAAUGCAUGCGUUAAUGUAAGGAAGGGUGCAGAUAUGGAAAAUUUGAAAUUUGACCCAAUUUAAUAUUCAAGUAAAUGCUAGGCAAAUGUUAUCCUGUACUUAUGCAGAUGCUAGGCAUCCAUCAUUCAAUGUUUAAGAGCUGAUACUAUGAUAGCCUACAAAACUUGUCAUCCAUUGUUUUAUGUGUAUGAUUGUUUAAUGACAACAUAAUCUUCAUUAGUUUUGUAACAUCUAUAGGUUUCAAUCAAAUUUCAAUGAUUGGUAUUGCCAUUCCGUAGCAACUUGAAUCUGG